GAUGAACGCUAGCGAUAGGCUUAACACAUGCAAGUCGAGGGGCAGCAUGGUCUUAGCUUGCUAAGACUGAUGGCGACCGGCGCACGGGUGCGUAACGCGUAUGCAACUUGCCUCACAGAGGGGGAUAACCCGUCGAAAGACGGACUAAUACCGCGUACACUCCAUCUUGGGCAUCCAAGGUAGAGGAAAUGAACUUCGCUGUGAGAUAGGCAUGCGUCCCAUUAGCUAGUUGGUGAGGUAACGGCUCACCAAGGCGACGAUGGGUAGGGGAACUGAGAGGUUGAACCCCCACACUGGUACUGAGACACGGACCAGACUCCUACGGGAGGCAGCAGUGAGGAAUAUUGAUCAAUGGGCGAGAGCCUGAACCAGCCAAGUCGCGUGAAGGAUGACUGUCUUAUGGAUUGUAAACUUCUUUUAUACGGGAAUAACAAGAGUCACGUGUGACUCCCUGCAUGUACCGUAUGAAUAAGCAUCGGCUAACUCCGUG
rnacentral:rRNA from 1 species